ACCAAACGCGCUCACCCAACCGUGCCAAAACCAGCAGAUUUAACUGCACAAAGGGAGGGACAACGGUUGGAAUUUUUGAGAUACCUGAAUUAAAGCACACCCGGUCCAGUUUCCUUGUUUUGUGGUGAAAAUCUCUAUUGAAAAAAAAAUAUCAUAAUCUGGGCGCGUGUGACGCAAGGACCAACAGAAGUGAUGCCGACAAAUUGACUAACAUUCGCCUGUUUGUCAACAGUUAUUGCGACAGACAUACGGUGGGAUUAAAAAACGUGGCCAUACUGAGUCGAUUGACAAUAUAUCUUCUGAUAAGAACUUGAUUCAGGGUGAAGAUUUAUUGGAUCUUGUCUGCAUCGUGAGUUCUGUUUACAGUUUGCGUGGGGAAUCGCCAUAUGGAGUAAUACAGAUGUGAGCUACAUUGAGAUAUGGACAUCUAAAUGAUGACAUCGAUUUGGAUAUCAGGACUGACGGCAGCUUUUUAGAGUACAUUGUAAACGUAAAAAGUGAUGUCGACAUUAGCAGUCCCAGUCUCUGUUAAGAGGAGUUCAUCCCAGAGGUCACCGCCCCGGGCCAAGAGAGGGGCGGGGGUCAGGAGGACAAACAGCUUCAACCUCCUAGCCCGGCCCAGCAAACCGGGGGAUCGCCUGAACGUGGAGUUGCUUUACAGUCUUACUCCAUAUAAAGAAAAUGUGGAUGAAGUCUCGGAAUAUGCUCGCUCAAUACUGAUUAACGCAAUUAAAAUGGAACCCCAUGUGCAUGACAUUUUCUUUCCAAACGAGAAUCCAGACCCAGUGUUAGAUUAUAUAGAUACCCGAGGGUUUCCAAUGGACAAACUUGCAACGGCUUUGGUUGCUGAAAGCAUAUCUAAGAUAAAAGACGAGUAUAAGUUUCAUCAAAUGAUUGAUAAAAGCUCGCUACAAGAUGUGUUGAGAGAUAUUUAUAAUGGUCUGCAAUGGAAAAAACUUGGUAGGUUGCUAAAGUACAUUAAUCUAAGAAGCUAGCUUGUCAUGUCGAAAUUGUUAAAUGAGACAACGGUUAUUUGGGAUGACAAUUUCCAAUUUUACCCAAGAUAAUAUGCAAUAUUUAUCAAUGCUGAAUGCUAAAAGUGCAAACUAUAUUAAGAAUUAUGUCAUAUGGUUAAAUCCACUGGCAAAUUACAUUCACAUUGACUGGGUCAUUGUUUCGAACACCAACUAAAAUAAAAAGAUGGUGAACCGUAAGAGCAACAAUUUUGCCCAAUCAAUGUAUUUAUGGUAUUAUUGCACGAAUUCUGAUUAGUGCCCAUGUUCAAUUAUUCGGGACGGCUUGAUUUUACCUUUCAAAAAGAAACUAUGAAAUGUUUUCACAAAUCAGAAUAAACUUUAUUGUAUACACAAUAUAUACAUGUUAACAUUCAACAAGCAAUUUUGAAUUGAAGGGAGCAAUAUUUAGGUGUAAAAUGAAUGAUAUCAUAGGUAGAGAAAAAGUUUUAUAAACUACUGUAUAAAUUAAUUUUUAAUGCAAUAACAAUAAAGCACGUCAUUGAUAUAACAAUUGAAUUAAAAUUGCAGGUUUCUGUCUCUACUCGUUGACAUAUCCAGAUGUGGUCAGAGACCAGAAAACGGGGGUCUGUCUACGAGAUUUCAUCGACGACAAUGGGCACGUCUGGGCAGAGAAACUCCUGGCCCACAUUAUGGAGCCUCGCUGGACUUUAAUGUGGAUGUUCCGUAUAGUGCGAGGACAGUGCACGGAGGCGGACUAUAACAGAGAAAUGAACGCUCUCUUUGUCAAAAUCCACCUUCUGGACCCGCAAGUGGUUAUACCUGCCUUCCAGUUCCUGCUCAACCAGAAAGCACUUCCGUCAGUAAAUUUAGAGCUAGCAACAAGGAACUACCUUGGCGGGUCUUUAGACUCCUCCCUCUUAGACGAGGAAGUAAUGGCGGCUGAACACAAAGACUCGGUACCUCUGAACGCCUCACGGAUAAGCCUCUCCGACCUGGAGGUGACCCACGGGGUGGAGGUAGAGGAAUUUAUCACCAGUGAAUGCAGAAAUCUUGACAUCUGGAACGAAAAACGGCCUGAAAACUCCAAACUCUCCAAAGCACGUGACCGAUGUGUCGUCAUGUGAUUGUGCGUUGUGUAUUAGCCAAACCUACUUUUACUUUUAUGCUCUUUAUUUCAGCAGCUAGAAUAUUUUAUAUAUGAUCUACAUCCUUGUAAAUAGUUUUGAUGCAUUGGACAAGUAUUAAUACUCAUUAAAAUAUUAUUUUC
rnacentral:misc_RNA from 1 species